GACAGGGGGAUCCCAAGUGCUCAUGCAUUGCAUGGGCUGUUCUUUGGCCUAAGUAACCAGAGGAGUAAGGGCUGGGCAAGACCGGUGCCUGCCGCCGCGGUAAUACCGGCAGCUCAAGUGGUAGCCGCGAUUAUUGGGCCUAAAACGUUCGUAGCCGGAUAAGUAAGUCUUUGGUUAAAUCCUGCGACUUAACCGUGGGAAAUCUAGAGAUACUGCUUGUCUUGAGACCGGGAGAGGUUGGAGGUACUCCCAGGGUAGGGGUGAAAUCCUGUAAUCCUGGGGGGACCACCUGUGGCGAAGGCGUCCAACUGGAACGGGUCUGACGGUGAGGGACGAAACCUAGGGGAGCGAGCCGGAUUAGAUACCCGGGUAGUCCUAGGCGUAAACGAUGUGGACUUGGUGUUGGGAUGGCCUCGAGCUGCCCCAGUGCCGAAGGGAAGCUGUUAAGUCCACCGCCUGGGAAGUACGGUCGCAAGACUGAAACUUAAAGGAAUUGGCGGGGGAAAGGGCGAAUUCGUUUAAACCUGCACGACUAGUCCCUUUAGUGAGGGUUAAUUCUGAGCUUGGCGUAAUCAUGGUCAUAGCUGUUUCCUGA
rnacentral:rRNA from 1 species